UACGUAGGGCGCAAGCGUUGUCCGGAAUUAUUGGGCGUAAAGAGCUCGUAGGCGGUUUGUCGCGUCUGCUGUGAAAACGCAAGGCUUAACCUUGCGCCUGCAGUGGGUACGGGCAGACUAGAGUGCGGUAGGGGAGACUGGAAUUCCUGGUGUAGCGGUGGAAUGCGCAGAUAUCAGGAGGAACACCGAUGGCGAAGGCAGGUCUCUGGGCCGUUACUGACGCUGAGGAGCGAAAGCAUGGGGAGCGAACAGG
rnacentral:rRNA from 1 species